rnacentral:misc_RNA from 1 species
GUUUGUUGCUGGCCUUCCGAGGCAUGUGCACGCCCUGCUCAUCCACUCUACACCUGUGCACUUACUGUAGGUUGGCGUGGGUUUCUAGCCUCCGGGCUGGGAGCAUUCUGCCGGCCUAUGUACACUACAAACUCUAAAGUAUCAGAAUGUAAACGCGUCUAACGCAUCUUAAU